rnacentral:rRNA from 1 species
CUUACACAUGCAAGUCGAGCGCGUGUAGCAAUACACGAGCGGCGCACGGGUGAGUAACGCGUGGAUAUCUGCCUUUUGGUUCGGAAUAACCCCGGGAAACUGGGGCUAAUACCGGAUGGUUCCUACGGGAUAAAGAUUUAUCGCCAAAAGAUGAGUCCGCGUCCGAUUAGCUAGUUGGUGAGGUAACGGCUCACCAAGGCGACGAUCGGUUGCUGGUCUGAGAGGACGAUCAGCCACACUGGGACUGAGACACGGCCCAGACUCCUACGGGAGGCAGCAGUGGGGAAUAUUGGACAAUGGGGGCAACCCUGAUCCAGCCAUGCCGCGUGAGUGAUGAAGGCCUUCGGGUUGUAAAGCUCUUUUGGCGGGGACGAUGAUGACGGUACCCGCAGAAUAAGCCCCGGCUAACUUCGUGCCAGCAGCCGCGGUAAGACGAAGGGGGCUAGCGUUGUUCGGAAUUACUGGGCGUAAAGCGCGUGUAGGCGGUUGUCCAAGUUGGAUGUGAAAGCCUUGAGCUCAACUCAAGAAAUGCAUUCAGGACUGGAUGACU